rnacentral:rRNA from 1 species
GACGGGACCCGCACAAGCGGUGGAUGAUGUGGAUUAAUUCGAUGCAACGCGAAGAACCUUACUACCCUUGACAUGUCCGGAACUUGCCAGAGAUGGCUUGGUGCCCGAAAGGGAAUCGGAACACAGGUGCUGCAUGGCUGUCGUCAGCUCGUGUCGCGAGAUGUUGGGUUAAGUCCCGCAACGAGCGCAACCCUUGUCACUAGUUGCCAUCAUUUGGUUGGGCACUCUAGUGAGACUGCCGGUGACAAACCGGAGGAAGGUGGGGAUGACGUCAAGUCCUCAUGGCCCUUAUGGGUAGGGCUUCACACGUCAUACAAUGGUCGGUACAGAGGGUUGCCAAGCCGCGAGGUGGAGCCAAUCCCUUAAAGCCGAUCGUAGUCCGGAUCGUAGUCUGCAACUCGACUACGUGAAGUCGGAAUCGCUAGUAAUCGCAGAUCAGCAUGCUGCGGUGAAUACGUUCCCGGGUCUU